rnacentral:lncRNA from 1 species
AUGCUAAACCACCUUCUGUCCGGAAAGUCUGGGACAUCUCAUUCUCUGUGGAGAGUCUCCAGUAAAGGCUGGAGGGAAAGCGACAAUACCAGACGAGAGCUUUGGAGGAGAAGAAACCACUCAUCUCCCAUGGGCAUCCUUAAGCUAUUGAGCCCAACAAACAUCUUGCAACCCAAACUCCAUCACACAUCAGCUUCCAGAAAACUCAACCCAUGCCAGGAGGGGAGGACUGUGACCCUGCCAAGAGGGAGAGCAAGGGAACUUUGCAGAGAACAGGUGCUCACAUUUCGGUGGCAGAGAAUUAAGGAGUCCACAGGCAUCCACGGGGCAGGAGAACAAGCGGAAUUCUGGAGCCUCAGGAAGACAAGACAGGCGUUGGCAACCAGAUGGGGCAAUGAGCCCGAUAUGACGCCACUAGGUGCCCCUAACCCGCUCCCUGGGGCAGGAUGUCAGGUCCGGUGUGGGCAGCUGAAGCCAGUAGGUGAGAGGGCAGCUUUCAGAUUCUGAGAUAUCUUUGAAUUAUGACCUCUGAGGAAG